CGGUGAAAUGCGUAGAGAUUGGAGGAACACCAGUGGCGAAGGCGACUUUCUGGUCUGUAACCUGACCUGAGGCGCGAAAGCGUGGGGAGCAAACAGGAUUAGAUACCCUGGUAGUCCACGCCGUAAACGAUGAGUGUAAGUGUUAGGGGUUUCCGCCCUUUAGUGCUGAGUAACGCAUU
rnacentral:rRNA from 1 species